AUGGGUGUCACUGUUUUACGCUGCCUUUCGUUGUAUGGAUUCAUUCUCACAAUACAUGCUCUCCAGCACCAGCGGGUCCGGCCCAACGGCAUGGCCAUUCUGUCUUGUGGUGAGCUGAAGUCUGGGAAAGUGACCUGGAGCAGAGAUCUGAAAGGGCGCCGAAUGCCCAUUCUCAGCACUGAUAAUGGAGACAUAACCAGACACAUACAGAAUCACAAUCACAGCUCAUUACCAGACCUGUCUCUGGUUAUCUGGUUUGUCUCAUCUUGGGAUGAGGGCUUGUAUUAUUGCAACAGCACACCUGUGGCAUGUCUAACAGUGAAAGAAGCUGAUGGGCAGAACAACAAGGAUCUGACUGCUUGUGUCAAAGGUGGCGUGCGUCUGGAUGUGAUGGAGCGUAUGCUGAUGUUCGGCGGUGUUGGACUGGCGGCUCUGAUGCUUUUCUUCGCUACUGCAGCUGCAGUCAAAGCUUCACGCUCGACUCGCAAUGAAACACAAAGAUCUCACACGGCAGACCGCACCGAUCUUUACAUUAACAUGAGAGAAUGCCAGUCAAACUGAUGAAGAGCUUCAGGAAAACCUUUGACAAUUAAACUGCUUAGUCAAGCAUCACUGUUGCUAUUGUUCAUACUUAGGGUUAGUGAUUUGAAUCUACUAACACUCUCUAAUGCUAAGUAUUAUUUUAAGCAGUCAGACUUAUGGUCCACUUCUGCUGAAUAAUCAAAUGGGCAAUGUGCAAUAAAAUUCCAUGCUCUUACA
ensembl:lncRNA